rnacentral:rRNA from 1 species
AUGUACGUAGUGCUGCAUGUGCCUGCUGCCUUGGUACGUACGUGCGUGGGGCGCACAUGCGCGCGUGCACGCGCGCACGACUGCUCGUGCGUUUGUCUCUUUGCCCAGCUGUUUGCUUCUGCCUGGCCAGGCCCUGCGCUGCUGUGGUUCUGCAUCCUGUGUGCCGCUUUGUUUUUCUUCUCCCAUCUCCAUUCCUUGAGACAUGCAGCAGGAGCUCCUCCCACAAGACAUGGCCCCCGUGUUUCCGAUUCAGUAGCGGUUCGGUAUGGCUCCGAUGAAGGUUCUUGGUAUCUGGCACUACUGCUUGCGGCUGCGAUCUUCUUGCAUUGCCAAGAUCUUCUCGGGCUUGAUUAA